UCGCAAAAGGCCGCUCGAUUCCGAUCCGGAAAAUGAACAAACAAAACGCUCACAUUUCAGUUCCGCAGCAUUUCCGCAAAACCAAUGAAAAACUCUAAUUCAACACAAAUGUGAUAAAUAAAAUCAAAAGAAACACUGAUGUUGUGAUAAAAAACUGCAAUUAAAGAAUAUAAAGCGUAUUUUUAAUAUCAACAAAUCAAUAAGUGACAAAAGAAAAAAAUCCCAAUCAGAGAAGCAGUUCCACAAAUGAACCGUCAUACCAUCACAGAACUUGAACCAGCAACUGGAACUUCUAUCACAGAGCACUCAAGUCGCAGCUGAUCUGAAUUGAACUAAUCUGAACUGAACUGAACCGAACCAAACACACACACACACACACACGCGCAGAGUGGAGUGGAGUGAAGGAGUGGAAGGAGUGGAACCGAAGAGAAAUCAACUCAACUGCUGAAUGUUUUUGAAUUGGAAACGCGUAGAGUAGAGCAACAGUAGCAAAACUUAUCACAAAUAUAAAAACACAUACAACAAUCAACAGCAAUAUAAA